ensembl:antisense A930012L18Rik RIKEN cDNA A930012L18 gene
UACCCGGCAGGCGGGCAGUUCGCGCCGGCGCCCAGCAGAGCUCGGGUAUCCUCCGGGAGAAGCCUGGGCACCAGUGCGAGAACGAUAUGUGCCUCCGGUUCCCGGGAGGAAAGAGCUGGAGAGAGCCGGAGCUGAGCAGCACUUCACGCCGAAGUUUCCCCCUUUGAAUCGUCUGGAGUUCUCUCUCUCUGCUUCCUGACCAUCAUGACAUGAUCAGUCUCCUCUUCCUGCACAGGGUUCUGCUGCCAUGAUCUUCUGCCUUCCCCUGGGCUCAGAACCAGCAGAGCCCAUGAUUAUGGAUCGACUGGGAUCCCUGAAACAGUGAGCCUAAGUCCUUUCCCCAUACUUGUUUCUGCCAGACAGUUUUGUCACAGGGAAAAAUAAGUCACUAUGCUUCUGUUGUAACAGUCAAUAAACAGUUGCCUAAUGUAAGA